rnacentral:antisense_RNA from 1 species
CUUGAUCGAUCCCAGCCACAGCGGCCGUUCCCGGCCCGGGCCGUAGGUGGCGAUGAUCGCCUGGGCCUC